rnacentral:rRNA from 1 species
GGCGGCGUGCUUAACACAUGCAAGUCGAACGCGAAAGUUUUCUUCGGAAGACGAGUAGAGUGGCGCACGGGUGAGUAACGCGUAAGUUAUCUACCCCGGCAUCUGGAAUAACUCACCGAAAGGUGUGCUAAUACCGGAUACGUUGAGUAAUCAAGAAAGGUGGCCUCUGAAUAUGCUACUGUGCUGAGAUGAGCUUGCGUACCAUUAGCUAGUUGGUAGGGUAAUGGCCUACCAAGGCGACGAUGGUUAGCGGGUCUGAGAGGAUGAUCCGCCACACUGGAACUGGAACACGGACCAGACUCCUACGGGAGGCAGCAGUGAGGAAUAUUGCGCAAUGGGGGCAACCCUGACGCAGCGACGCCGCGUGGAUGAUGAAGGCCUUCGGGCCGUAAAAUCCUGUCAAGUGGAAAGAAGUGCAUGGUGGAUAAUACCCAUCAUGUUUGACGGUACCACUGAAGGAAGCACCGGCUAACUCCGUGCCAGCAGCCGCGGUAAUACGGAGGGUGCAAACGUUGUUCGGAAUUACUGGGCGUAAAGCGCGCGUAGGCGGUUUUAUAAGUCAGAUGUGAAAGCCCAGGGCUCAACCCUGGACGUGCAUUUGAAACUGUGAGACUUGAGUAUUGGAGGGGGUGGUGGAAUUCCCGGUGUAGAGGUGAAAUUCGUAGGUAUCGGGAGGAAUACCAGUGGCGAAGGCGACCACCUGGCCAAAUACUGACGCUGAGGUGCGAAAGCGUGGGGAGCAAACAGGAUUAGAUACCCUGGUAGUCCACGCCGUAAACGAUGUCAACUAGGUGUUGGGACGGUUAAUCGUCUCAUUGCCGCAGCUAACGCCAUUAAGUUGACCGCCUGGGGAGUACGGUCGCAAGAAUA